UUUCCAACAUAUCAGAAGAGAGACUUUUGUAGUCACAAGCUAUAAUUUGAUUAAGCAUAAAACUUUCUAAAAAUAUCUAUUACACUUCUUAAAAAUCCCUAAACUUUUUCCUUGUAAAACUAAAAACACAGGUACAUUAUUGGUUCCUAAGUCACAAAGUAAAAUUUUGGCAUUCUAUAAACCUAAGGAGAAAGAAAACAAAUUCUGCACUUCCACAAGCACAUACAAUACCACUUUAUACAUAAGAGUAACUUUGCUGGAUCUCAUAUACCGGCCAGUGUAUCGAAGUAGUAUAUCUGAGUUUCAGUAGAAUAUCGCAAUGCAUGUCAUACUUAUUGCUCUCGUGGUCUGGCAAGCCAAAGAGAGCUGAGAGCUCGAAGACGUGAGAAGUAUUCACUUAUUGCAAGAAGAGCACGGGCUGAUUGUCUGGUUGUCAAUAUGCGAUGCAUUUGUUGCAAUGUCUGUUGACGCAGGUUGUCCGCCUGACGGAGAAAACCUUCAAGAGUCCCUAAUUUCCCCAUAGCCAUUGCCAUCUGACCCAUAUAAUUAGCUACAUCUCCUGAUGACCCUUCAGUAGCAGGAGAUCCGUUAGCUAAUGUCUCUGCCAAGGAUUGCUGCAACGCCUCCAUACCUUGUGAAAGGGCAUCUUCUGCUUGAUGGGAUGACUGCUGCAAGUUGUAAAUGCCAGCUAACUGUUGCUCGGUCAGAGGCUCCAACUGAUUGACUAGAAGCUUAAGAAGUUCCGAGGGGCGGAAGCCACCAAUCCACAUAAAACAUCGCUCGGCAGGGGUUUUCCACAUCCCUGACAAGACAUGGAAUACGUCUGCCUUGGCUGCAUUUCCUUUCACCCUAAAGACCUCAUCGUAAUGUGCAGUGACAUUAUUCACAAUACUUCGCAGUUCAGGGUCACUUGCAUGUGAAUUGACAGCGGUUCUCAAUUCAUUGAUGUGUUUGUUGUGUUCUUCUAACCAUCGACUAUAUUCUGCAUCAAAUGCUAAGGUCCCACUGGCGCCCGCUCCAUUUGAUUGAUCUGCCAUGUUUGAGAUGUACUUCCCCUGUUGACGUGCUCGCUGAAGGUCCUGCUCCAACUGUGAUAGCUUCAACCGGCUAUUCUCCAGCUGUUGUACAUAUGCUUUUUUCCUCAGUCUACUUUUUCUAGCAGCUUCACGAUUUUGGGCAAGUCUCCGCAAUGUCUUCUGAUCCAAGACUUUUUCUUUUGAUUUGUCACUGGAAUCAGAAGCUGCAAUAGCCCUGGAUUGACCCGUCUCAAUCCUUUGAUUUCUAUCAUCUCCAUCCAUGUCAGUUGAAGUAUCAGUGCGAGAACCAGAAUCUGCCAUGUUGGACUCGCCCCAAUUCUCAGGAUGAGUGCCAGCUGCAGGAACUAAGUUUGAUUGCAAUUGUAUUACAUGAGAUCCUGGAGCAGCAGUAGACAAACUUGUAUUUGAAGGAGCUAAAUUCCUAUUGAUGGUCCCAGAGACGUCAAAUCCCACUGCUGGAUUAGCUGCAGAUGUAGAAUUAAAUAGGGGACUUCGAUUAACAUUAACACCAUCUCCAAUACGGAAUCCAAGAUAUUGCUCAAGCACCCCAAAUUCAGACAUUCGAGAAGUAUUUGUAUUGUUCCCUUCUGUGCCCAUGUGAUUUUUUGAAACUGGAAUCUGAGAAAUGAAACUUGGCAUCCCAAAAUUACCACUCUUAUAGCCUUUUCUACCAAUCUUCACAUCAUCAUCAACAAUCCACAACCUCAGUUCAUACACUCAAAAACUCUACAAUAACAAAAUCAAACUACAAACCCCUUUCAAACAGUUGACUAAAUACAAAAACUUCCAAAAGCAACCGCUUAAAACUUUAACACAUACACCAUUAAAAUCAAGAAAACCCCAAAAAGAAAAAAAACAGCUGUGCAUAAACCCUCACUUCAAACAACAAAAAGGUCAAAACUUUAUCAAAACCCAACUACCCCUUCAUCAAAAUGAGUUAAUAUCUAAUACCCAAAGCUUAAAAUUAAUAAAAUAAAAUAAAAAACUCAAGAAAAUUGAAUUUUCUACAACCCCACUUCGUAUAAAAACUAAAUAAACCAAAGCUUAGAGUGG
rnacentral:misc_RNA from 1 species